rnacentral:tRNA from 1 species
GGGCCGCUAGCUCAGCGGUAGAGCAACCGGCUCUUAACCGGUUGGCCGUAGGUUCGAAUCCUACGCGGCCCA